rnacentral:lncRNA from 1 species
GCUGUUAUGACAUUGAGAUAGUAAUCCAAAUGUUCCUGAUUUGAUCCCAAGCUGAGGCAGUCUUUUUCUUCAGAUUAAAUUCAUAAUUCAAGUAUUAAUUUGUAGAUAGCACUAUUCAUAGUCUAUCCAAUCUUGUGUAGGAUAAAGAAAUCCUGCAAUUGUGUGCAUAUGCAUAGUGGGUCUAAAUUCAUUCCUAUAUUAUCUGGCAUUCAUAUUUCCUCUAGAAAACACAAGUCUGUGCAACAUCUUAACAAAAUUUUAUCUCACCAUCAAGCUACUUCCAUCAUAACUUCCAUAAGUUUUUUCUUGAAUAUUAGAGGGAAAGUAGUAUGUCCCUGUUCUCUCCAGAUCAAAAUAUGCCCAAAAUUACAUUGCAGAGCGAAAUCUGGACUCAUCUGUAAAGAUCUCCAUUGGGUUUCAGUCCAGUUAACAUAAUCUCUUUCCUAUUUCAAAUAUUCCCUCCUCUGAUGAAGGGUAAAGGGAUGCACCGAUUGCUGAUUGUCUGUCAUAUAAAUUAUCAUCGUGAAGUCUUUUAGACUCAGCGAAAGUAGAUACUAGCAUUCUGUAGUUGUAACAAGGGCAAGUCACAGGUAUGGAGCAGUAUUCACAUUCCUUCAAGCAGAUUAUUGAAAUAUCAAUUAUCACUACUUUAGUAACUUUUGGUCUUCCUCCAUUGUAUCUAUUAAAUAUUAUUUGAGAAUUUUGAAACUGGCUUCAGAGCCUGUGAAGCAUAGUACAAUUAAUAUUUAAUCUAUUUUUACUUCAUUCUGAUUUUGGCCUAUCUUUAUCUACUUUCCUUCUAAAUUGCU